GCCACCAUAGCUCAGUUGGUAGAGCGAGCGCUUCGUAAGCGUUAGGUCGUCGGUUCGAUUCCGACUGGUGGCU
rnacentral:tRNA from 1 species